GGCCUAAGCGCAGACGCACUGUGCCCAAGCAGCCGGUGAUGGCGGCAGCGGCGGCGGUGGCUGCGGCGGGUCCGGGCCCAUGAGGCGACGACGGAGGCGGGACGGCUUUUACCCAGCGCCGGACUUCCGAGACAGGGAAGCUGAGGACAUGGCAGGAGUGUUUGACAUAGACCUGGACCAGCCAGAGGACGCAGGCUCUGAGGAUGAGCUGGAGGAGGGGGGUCAGUUAAAUGAAAGCAUGGACCAUGGGGGAGUUGGACCAUAUGAACUUGGCAUGGAACAUUGUGAGAAAUUUGAAAUCUCAGAAACUAGUGUGAACAGAGGGCCAGAAAAAAUCAGACCAGAAUGUUUUGAGCUACUUCGGGUACUUGGUAAAGGGGGCUAUGGAAAGGUUUUUCAAGUACGAAAAGUAACAGGAGCAAAUACUGGGAAAAUAUUUGCCAUGAAGGUGCUUAAAAAGGCAAUGAUAGUAAGAAAUGCUAAAGAUACAGCUCAUACAAAAGCAGAACGGAAUAUUCUGGAGGAAGUAAAGCAUCCCUUCAUUGUGGAUUUAAUUUAUGCCUUUCAGACUGGUGGAAAACUCUACCUCAUCCUUGAGUAUCUCAGCGGAGGAGAAUUAUUUAUGCAGUUGGAAAGAGAGGGAAUAUUUAUGGAAGACACAGCCUGCUUUUACUUGGCAGAAAUCUCCAUGGCUUUGGGGCAUUUACAUCAAAAGGGGAUCAUCUACAGAGACCUGAAGCCGGAGAAUAUCAUGCUUAAUCACCAAGGUCAUGUGAAACUAACAGACUUUGGACUAUGCAAAGAAUCUAUUCAUGAUGGAACAGUCACACAUACAUUUUGUGGAACAAUAGAAUACAUGGCCCCUGAAAUCUUGAUGAGAAGUGGCCACAAUCGUGCUGUGGAUUGGUGGAGUUUGGGAGCAUUAAUGUAUGACAUGCUGACUGGAGCACCCCCGUUCACUGGGGAGAAUAGAAAGAAAACAAUUGACAAAAUCCUCAAAUGUAAACUCAAUUUGCCUCCCUACCUCACACAAGAAGCCAGAGAUCUGCUUAAAAAGCUGCUGAAAAGAAAUGCUGCUUCUCGUCUUGGAGCUGGUCCUGGGGACGCUGGAGAAGUUCAAGCUCAUCCAUUCUUCAGACAUAUUAAUUGGGAAGAACUGCUGGCUCGGAAGGUGGAGCCCCCCUUUAAACCUCUGUUGCAAUCUGAAGAGGAUGUGAGUCAGUUUGAUUCAAAGUUUACACGUCAGACACCUGUUGACAGCCCAGAUGACUCAACUCUCAGUGAAAGUGCCAACCAGGUCUUUCUGAGUGGAAUUUUGUUUGCUGGCAUAUGGGCCUCAAGAGAAUUCUGCUUUCUUGAGGUCUGUGCCUCAAGAAAUGGCUGGAAGAAGUUAACAUAUGAAAUGAGAUUGAGGAGAUGGGAGAGUAUACAGAUCAGUGAUUUUAGGGUUUUACAUAUGUGGCUCCAUCUGUACUUGAAAGUGUAAAAGAAAAGUUUUCCUUUGAACCAAAAAUCCGAUCACCUCGAAGAUUUAUUGGCAGCCCACGAACACCUGUCAGCCCAGUCAAAUUUUCUCCUGGGGAUUUCUGGGGAAGAGGUGCUUCAGCCAGCACGGCAAAUCCUCAGACGCCUGUGGAAUUCCCAAUGGAAACAAGUGGAAUAGAGCAGAUGGAUGUGACAAUGAGUGGAGAAGCUUCAGCACCACUUCCAAUACGACAGCCGAACUCCGGGCCGUACAAAAAACAGGCUUUUCCCAUGAUCUCCAAACGACCAGAGCACCUGCGUAUGAAUCUAUGACAGAGCAAUGCUUUUAAUGAAUUUAAGGCAAAAAAGGAGGGGAGGGGAUGUGUGAGCAUCCUGCAAGGUGAAACAAGAAGACUCAAAAUGACAGUCUCAAAGAGUCAGUGUCAUUACAUAGAACACUUUGGACCGAGGAAAAAUAAACAUGGAUUUUUAAAAAUCAAUCAAUGGUGCAAAAAAAAAACUUAAGCAAAAUAGUAUUGCGAACUCUUAGGCACAUCAAUUAAUUGAUUCCUAGCGACAUCUUCUUAACCUUAUCAAGGAUUUUCAUGUUGAUGGCUCGAAACUGACAGUAUUAAGGGUAGGAUGUUGCUUCUGAAUCACUGUUGAGUUCUGAUUGCGUCAAAGAAGGGUUAUCCUUUCAUUAGGCAAAGUAUGAAACUGCCUGUAAUACUUGCAACUAAGGACAGAUAAGCAUGCAAGCUUGGUCAAACUUUUUCCAGCAACGUGGAAUCAAAGACAAAAGAAACUUAACAAUUGAUGUUUUACGUGCAAACAACCUGAAUCUUUUUUUUAUAUAAAUAUAUAUUUUUCAAAUAGAUUUUUGAUUCAGCUCAUUAUGGAAAACAUCCCAAACUUUAAAAUGCGAAAUUAUUGGUUGGUGUGAAGAAAGCCAGACAGCUUCUGUUUCUUCUCUUGGUGAAAUAAUAAAAAUGCAAAUGAAUCAUUGUUAACCACAGCUGUGGCUCGUUGAGGGAUUGGGGUGGACCUGGGAGUUUAUUUUCAGUAACCCAGCUGCAAUACCUGUCUGUAAUACUAGAAAAAAAAAUGAAUCUGUUUAAUCAUUUCUACUUGCAGUUACUGCUAUGUGCUAAGCUUAACUGGAAGCCUUGGAAUGGGCAUAAGUUGUAUGUCCUACAUUUCAUCUUUGUCCUGGGCCUGCAUUGCACUGGAAAAAUAUCACCACCUGUUUUUAUACCAGUAUUUGGUUCAAGAUGCCAAAUGUGUUCAGCCCAUGGUUGAAGAAGGACGGAAGAGAGUCAGGAUAAAAUGCAUACUGAGGGCGGCAAAGUGAGGGAGAUAGGGAGAUCCAGGGGAAGAGGGUGUUGCCACAGUUCACUCUCUCUCUAAUCUCUUUACAGCAAAUUGGUAAGGUUUUAAGUUUUGCUUCUUUUUACUGUUUUUGCUGUCUACCUUCCUUACAUUUUUUUCCUUAACAGUUUUAAAAGGAAAAAAGGUAUUUUUUUCCUCCUAUACUGGGGCUAUAUUUUUUGAUUGUAAAAAUAUUUGAUGGCCUUUUGAUGAAUGUCUUCCACAGUGAAUACGAAAACUUAGUGGCUUAAUUUAGGAAACAUGUUAACAAGACACUAUGUUUUUGAAAUUGUAACAAAAUCUACAUAAGUGAUUUACAGGUACAAAGAAUAAAAAUAAAGGUAACUUUACCUUUCUUAAAUACUUCCUGCCUUAAAGAGAGCAUUUCCAUGACUUUAGCUGGUGAAAGGGUUUAAUAUCUGCAGAGCUUUAUAAAAAUAUAUUUCAGUGCAUACUGGUAUAAUAGAUGAUCAUGCAGUUGCAGUUGAGUCUUAUCACUUAUUUUUGUUUGUCUUUUAUAAUGUCUUCAGUCUGAGUGUGCAAAGGCAGUUUGUAAUAUUUUGCAACCCUACAAUUUUUUUAAAUAGAUGCUGCUUGCUAUGUUCUCCAAACCUUUUGAGCCAUAGGAUCCAAGCCAUAAAAUUCUUUAUGCAUGUUGAAUUCAGUCAGAAAAGAGCAAAGCUUUGCUUAUUUAAAUAGCAAGUCAAGUAAGAUGAGAUGAAAUCCUAUGACAUUAAGCAAAAUAGAACCAUGAAAAAUGAUUGGAAAUAUAGCUUUUCAAUUGUGGCAAUAAAUGAAAGAUUUAGUAACAGUUCAUCUUUGGACAGAAGGCCUUUUUUUAAAAAAAAAUCACUCCCUCUAGACUCCCCUCCUCCCUUAUUGCAGCAGCCUACUGAGAAACUUUAUAACUAUAGCUAGUAAAUUAGAAGCUACAAUAAUAAGGGCAGAAAUUGUACUUAAAGUGCAGAUCUUUCUUCUCCGACAGUUUAUGAUGUCUCAGAAAACAGAACCCAAAAAGCUAUGGUGAUAUGUACAGGCUUUAUUUCACACUGUCAGUGGCUUGUGCUACUACUCUGAUACUUGUUUUCAAAUGUGUUUACUAACUGUAGUGUUGACUGCCUGACCAAAUUCCAGUGGAAUUUUACACCAAAAUAUCCCUCCUCAGUCCUAUUUGCUAGUAACAUUUGCACUGUGAUUGGCUGGCUAUUAACCACCCCAUAGUUAAACCAUUUUCAUAAUUAGUACUGCCAGCAAUAGUGGCAAACACUGCAACUUUUCUGCAUAAAAAGCAUUAAUUGCACACCUACCAUCCACACAAAUAUAGUUUUUCAAACUUAACAUUAAGUGAAAUUAAUUUCCUAUGCUGUGGCAAGUUAUUGAGAAAUUACAUUUCAUAAAUGGAUAUCCCUACUAUGACUGUGAAAACAUGUCAGGUGCCACUUUAGUGUCACAGACAGAAAGCACACACCUAUGCAAUAUGGCUUACCCUAUAUUUAUUUGUAAAAAUCCAAGUAUUGUUUAAAAAUAUAUGAUGUCAAUAUUACUAGUCUUGAGUUUUUAAGAGGGUUCUUUAUGAUUAUUCCAGGUAAGUGUAUAAAAGAGAUUAAGUGCUUUUCUUUCAUCAUUUGAUUAUUUUCUUUAAAAUCAGCUAUUACAGGAUAUUUUUUUAUUUUAUACAUGCUGUUUUUUAAUUAAAAUAUAAUCACUGAUAACUGAAGUUUACUAAUUUUGAUUUUAUAAGGUUUGUAGCAUUACAGAAUAAACUGGAUUUAUAAAUGAGCUGUGAUUAACAAUGUAAAGUAUUAAUUAUUGAACUUGAACCAGAUUUUUAGGAAAAUUAUAUUAUUUCUUUUUCCCCUUUAUGGUCUUAACUAAUUUGAAUCCUUGAAGAAGGAUUUUUCCAUACAAUUUUUUGAGAAGGAAGAUAAUUGGGGGGAAAGAAUGCAUGUAUGAUACUCCAUAAAUUCAACAUUCUUUAAGUAAUAAAUGAUUAUAAACAAGAUGCAUCUUCCAUAGUAUUAAUAUACUGAGCCUUGGAUUUUAUAUUUAAUAUAGGACCUAAAAAUUCUGGUUACUCAGUUAAGUUGUAUGGUUCCUAGCUUAUAAGGGCUAGAUCUAAGAUUAUUCCUGUGAGAAAUGUUGAAUUUAUGAAGAGUGGGUUUUGAGGCUUUGAAAAUGCCUCACAUAAAAACAUCAAUGUCCAAACAUCUACCUUUUUUCAUAGGAGUAGACACUACCAAGCUGGACAAAAGUAUUGGUCACACCAUGACCUGUGGUCUGUUGAUGAUUGAUACAAAACUUUUCUUGUGUGAUUCUUAAUUUACCACUACAGCACAAGUAUUACCUCAGUGGAUUAUCUGAAGUAACAUCUGAAAGAUGGGUUCAUCUGUGUUUGCUCUUAAAACUAUUAUUUUUUUCCUAUCUCAAGUUGGCUUUGCAUUUAUCAGAGUAAAUAAAUUCUUCAGCUGCCUUAUUAGGAGUGCUAUGAGGGUAACACCUUUUCUGCUUUUCAUCUUGUAUUUAGUUUACUGUACUAAGUAUUUGAUUUCAGAUUCAAUGAAUGUAAAUAGAAAUUAAAUACAAAUUUGAAUGAACAUAAAA